GUUGAUGGGGUCGUGGCUGGUAGAGGAGUGACUAGUGGCGCCACUAUUCUUGACCUCUAUGGCUAAAUGGCGCCACUGACCUGGAAGAGGGGGAUGACGUCAGGUUGUGGAGAGGGGGAAGGGUCGGGGGUGAGUAGUUAGCUGUUACUGGUGGGAGGGUGAUGGGGAAUGAGGUAGGGGGAUGGUUCACUUGGUAAUUACCAAGGGACUAACACAGUCUUGUUACUGUGUGUUAACGUGGCUUGAACCUUGAUAUUUGAAACGCCCUGGACACUAGCUCCACAUACUCGUAAUCCUAUGAACAAUGUCUAUGGACUCGUGUUGAAAACAAGUCUCCUUGAUGUUGGGCUUACGUAUUUGAUAUCUUUUGUUGGUUUAGUGCCUAGUCUUGAUCAGGGCCGGAUUUAGACCUUGCUGACGCUGGAGAAGAAGCUUCCAGCAGAAAAGUUAUGUGGAGAAGCAGCACAGAGUAUCAGAAGUAACAACGUAGCACAUAAACGAACCUGUCCAGAGACCUCUAGAACCGGAUAUACUUCCUGAGACAUAGUGACAAGUCAAGGCAACACCUCCCAGCAGAAUUAAGUUCCCGGCUGCACGUGAUCUUGAAGGGGAAGUCCAGAGGGGCUAAGGCUUAGGGAGGUUGAAGACUGGGAUAUAUUCUCCAACACCAAUGACAUGUUGCGAUGGAACCAGAUGUCCAACUGUGAGUGUGAUAGACUUGGUAACUAGGAAAGUAAAUCUUUCCUAUGUAUACCACUUUUCCUUCACUUAAUGACCAGUCACCAAGUCUCGUCCCAUCAUCCUUCGUGUCUCCUCUAAUCACGUCUGGUAAUAGUUGGAAGAUGGAAUCAAGUCUCCAGCAUGGAGACUUGAUUCCAUCUUCAGGAUCACAGUACAGGUUGAAUGUCUCUCUUCUUCGAGAAUCACUGUCUGGACUGGGAUUAUUCAUCUCGGACUAAGCUACAUCCAGCAGUGGACCUUCCCAUGCGCACGUCUACUACCAACACUGUCUUUUGUGCUACCGUCCAUAGGAUGGAUAUGGGGUGCACAGUAAACUAGCCACUUCGGUGGCAAAAUCAAACACUAAAUCUAAUCAUUGUCCAACUAGCACCUCCCCAUCUUCAGGUGUUCUCUCUUCAGUACAACACUUGGUAUGAUAGCAUUUGUGUUGAGUGUUUAUGCUCAUUACUUUGUUGAUGUUAUCCCAAAUUGUGUUAUAACUGUUUUUACGGCUAUGAGUGCUGAGUAACUAGGCAGUCAAACUGCUCUGUAUUCAUCUGAGAUCAAUGGAGAAUAAUAAUAGUUAUAAAAAUAACCAUAAUUUUUAAAGGGGUGGAAGGGUAAGCUAGCGGAAGGCCUCGGUCAGAUGAUCAAAAGCUCCAGCAGUGGAUCAUCAUAUGACUAAGACCCGUGUCAGGAAACUCGUCCUGUUUCCUGACGAACUUUACUUAACCUAACCUAGAGAGAAAUAUAUUUGGAAAUAGCCACGUUAUACCCUGGUAUGCUGUACUGUACCUGGCUUGGACAAAUAUUAAAAUAUAAUCGUUCUAAUGAGAAUUUACUGUUGUGGCGGAACACACAGUAACAACUAAUAGUUAAUGGGAGAGAUGUUACUAUGGGUUCUAUGAACCACACCCAUGAGUACCCCCAUUAAAGUUAUGAUUCACACCCAUGAAUACCCCAGUUAAAGUAACUACUGUUCCUUAGUUCAAGAGUAGUUUACCAGCAGAAAGUUUCCCUUCCCAGUACUUGUAUUAAAAGGUCAGGUUUUCUCCUGGUUUAUUAUUAUUUAUUUUUUUUAUUAUCACACUGGCCGAUUCCCACCAAGGCAGGGUGGCCCGAAAAAGAAAAACUUUCACCAUCAUUCACUCCAUCACUGUCUUGCCAGAAGGGUGCUUUACACUACAGUUUUUAAACUGCAACAUUAACACCCCUCCUUCAGAGUGCAGGUACUGUACUUCCCAUCUCCAGGACUCAAGUCCGGCCUGCCGGUUUCCCUUAAUUCCUUCAUAAAUGUUACCUUGCUCACACUCCAACAGCAUGUCAAGUAUUAAAAACCAUGUCUCCAUUCACUCCUAUCAAACACGCUCACGCAUGCCUGCUGGAAGUCCAAGCCCCUCGCACACAAAACCUCCUUUACCCCCUCCCUCCAACCUUUCCUAGGCCGACCCCUACCCCGCCUUCCUUCCACUACAGACUGAUACACUCUUGAAGUUAUUCUGUUUCGCUCCAUUCUCUCUACAUGUCCGAACCACCUCAACAACCCUUCCUCAGCCCUCUGGACAACAGUUUUGGUAAUCCCGCACCUCCUCCUAACUUCCAAACUACGAAUUCUCUGCAUUAUAUUCACACCACACAUUGCCCUCAGACAUGACAUCUCCACUGCCUCCAGCCUUCUCCUCGCUGCAACAUUCAUCACCCAUGCUUCACACCCAUAUAAGAGCGUUGGUAAAACUAUACUCUCAUACAUUCCCCUCUUUGCCUCCAAGGACAAAGUUCUUUGUCUCCACAGACUCCUAAGUGCACCACUCACCCUUUUCCCCUCAUCAAUUCUAUGAUUCACUUCAUCUUUCAUAGACCCAUCUGCUGACACGUCCACUCCCAAAUAUCUGAAUACAUUCACCUCCUUCAUACUCUCUCCUUCCAAUCUGAUAUCCAAUCUUUCAUCACCUAAUCUUUUUGUUAAACUCAUAACCUUACUCUUUCCUGUAUUCACUUUUAAUUUUCUUCUUUUGCAUACCCUACCAAAUUCAUCCACCAAUCUCUGCAACUUCUCUUCAGAAUCUCCCAAGAGCACAGUGUCAUCAGCAAAGAGCAACUGUGACAACUCCCACUUUGAGUGUGAUUCUUUAUCUUUUAACUCCACGCCUCUUGCCAAGACCCUCGCAUUUACUUCUUACAACCCCAUCUAUAAAUAUAUUAAACAACCACGGUGACAUCACACAUCCUUGUCUAAGGCCUACUUUUACUGGGAAAUAAUUUCCCUCUUUCCUACAUACUCUAACUUGAGCCUCACUAUCCUCGUAAAAACUCUUCACUGCUUUCAGUAACCUACCUCCUACACCAUACACCUGCAACAUCUGCCACAUUGCCCCCCUAUCCACCCUGUCAUACGCCUUUUAAAAAUCCAUAAAUGCCACAAAGACCUCUUUAGCCUUAUCUGGUCCACACACCCCCUACCUUUCCUAAAGCCUCCUUGUUCAUCUGCUAUCCUAUUCUCCGUCUUACUCUUAAUUCUUUCACUAAUAACUCUACCAUACACUUUACCAGGUAUACUCAACAGGCUUAUCCCCCUAUAAUUUUUGCACUCUCUUUUGUCCCCUUUGCCUUUAUACAAAGGAACUAUGCAUGCUCUCUGCCAAUCCCUAGGUACCUUACCCUCUUCCAUACAUUUAUUAAAUAAUUGCACCAACCACUCCAAAACUAUAUCCCCACCUGCUUUUAACAUUUCUAUCUUUAUCCCAUCAAUCCCGGCUGCCUUACCCUCUUUCAUUUUACCUACUGCCUCACGAACUUCCCCCACACUCACAACUGGCUCUUCCUCACUCCUACAAGAUGUUAUUCCUCCUUGCCCUAUACACGAAAUCACAGCUUCCUUAUCUUCAUCAACAUUUAACAAUUCCUCAAAAUAUUCCCUCCAUCUUUCCAAUACCUCUAACUCUCCAUUUAAUAACUCUCCUCUCCUAUUUUUAACUGACAGAUCCAUUUCUCUAGGCUUCCUUAACUUGUUAAUCUCACUUCAAAACUUUUUCUUAUUUUCAACAAAAUUUGUUGAUAACAUCUCACCCACUCUCUCAUUUGCUCUCUUUUUACAUUGCUUCACCACUCUCUCAUUCUCCAUAUACUCUUCCCUCCUUGCAUCACUUCUACUUUGUAAAAACUUCUCAUAUGCUAACUUUUUCUCCCUUACUACUCUCUUUACAUCAUCAUUCCACCAGUCGCUCCUCUUCCCUCCCGCACCCACUUUCCUGUAACCACAAACUUCUGCUGAACACUCUAACAUUACAUUUUUAAACCUACCCCAUACCUCUUCGACCCCAUUGCCUAUGCUCUCAUUAGCCCAUCUAUCCUCCAAUAGCUGUUUAUAUCUUACCCCAACUGCCUCCUCUUUUAGUUUAUAAACCUUCACCUCUCUCUUCCCUGAUGCUUCUAUUCUCCUUGUAGCUACAACUAGAAAGUGAUCUGAUAUAUCUGUGGCCCCUCUAUAAACAUGUACAUCCUCAAGUCUACUCAACAGUCUUUUAUCUACCAAUACAUAAUCCAACAAACUACUGUCAUUUUGCCCUACAUCAUAUCUUGUAUACUUAUUUAUCCUCUUUUUCUUAAAAUAUGUAUUACCUAUAACUAAACCCCUUUCUAUACAAAGUUCAAUCAAAGGGCUCCCAUGAUCAUUUACACCUGGCACCCCAAACUUACCUACCACACCCUCUCUAAAAGUUUCUCCUACUUUAGCAUUCAGAUCCCCUACCACAAUUACUCUCUCACUUGGUUCAAAGGCUCCUAUACAUUCACUUAACAUCUCCCAAAAUCUCUCUCUCUCCUCUACAUUCCUCUCUUCUCCAGGUGCAUACACGCUUAUUAUGACCCACUUUUCGCAUCCAACCUUUACUUUAAUCCACAUAAUUCUUGAAUUUACACAUUCAUAUUCUCUUUUCUCCUUCCAUAACUAAUCCUUCAACAUUACUGCUACCCCUUCCUUUGCUCUAACUCUCUCAGAUACUCCAGAUUUAAUUCCAUUUAUUUCCCCCCACCGAAACUCCCCUACCCCCUUCAGCUUUGUUUCGCUUAGGGCGAGGACAUCCAACUUCUUUUCAUUCAUAACAUCAGCAAUCAUCUGUUUCUUGUCUUCUGCACUACAUUCAAGCAUCCCAGUUUUAUAAAGUUUUUCUUCUUCUCUUUUUUAGUAAAUGUCUACAGGAGAAGGGGUUACUAGCCCUUUGCUCCCGGCAUUUUAGUCGCCUCAUACGACACGCAUGGCUUACGGAGGAAAGAUUCUUUUCCACUUCCCCAUGGACAAUAGAAGAAAUAAAGAAGAACAAGAGCUAUUUAGAAAAAGGAGAAAAACCUAGAUGUAUGUAUAUAUAUAUAUGCAUGUGCGUGUCUGUGAAGUGUGACCAAAGUGUAAGUAGGAGUAGCAAGAUAUCCCUGUUAUCUAGCGUGUUUAUGAGACAGAAAAAGAAACCAGCAAUCCUACCAUCAUGCAAAACAGUUACAGGUUUCUGUUUCACAGUCAUCUGGCAGGACGGUAGUACUUCCCUGGGUGGUUGCUGUCUACCAACCUACUACCUGGUAGUUGAUUUUAAUUUAAAUUAAAGUGUAUUUUCACAUGAUUCAGAAUGCCCAUUGCUAUGCAGAUAGUUUUGGGCUUGAUCAAAAACUGGUUUAGUUUUUUUAAUUAGAUAUUUAGCUAGUUUUAUUAUAAUCGAAGAAGUGCCAAACCAAGUAGGGUCAUACAGCGCAUCAGAUAGUUUUAAGAUGCACAUUAAAACAAGGUAAAUAUCGCAUUUGGUUUUUUUUUUAAUCUUGAUAUUACAUAAAUUCUCACUCUUUUAAUGGGGUUUUGUUGUGGACAGUUAUAUUUCUGGCCUAUGGGAUACCAGAUUUUUUUCUUAACAAAACCCAAAGAACUUGAGCAAUCCUGUAUUAGUUAAAUUCUAGGGUAUAGUAAAUUGGCUUUCUUUUUUAUUCGUACCUUGUAGGCCCAAAAUAUAACAGUCUCCAUUGUACAACCUACUUAAUAUUAGAUAAUUUACAUAAAAAAUAGAAUUUAUUAAACUCGGUCUUAGCCUAAAACAGCAUAGUUUGACAAUCAGUAGCAUGGGAUGUGAAACUAAAAGAAUUAGAGAGGACUUUGGAGGCUGUCCUUGAAAUUUAAAUCUUUAUCCUCACUUUCUCUAGCCAUCUUAGAAAUAAUCCCCACUUCUUUUCCUGCUUCCAACUUGUUACCUGUCCCAUCAACAUACUCAACAGGCUUGUGUGUACUCUCCUAUUUGUGGUUGCAGGGGAUGAGUCUUGGCUCCUAGCCACGACUCAUAGCUUGCCAGAUUUACUACUUCCUGCCCUCGUCAGCCUCUCAUCUUACUUAUGGAAUCUUCCUCCACUACUUAGUUUUCCAGGUCAUGUCACUUCCUGACCACUCUGAGGCUGAAGAAUUUCCUGAUAUCCUUGUGACUAACCUUUAGCUUUCAGCAAUGCCUUCGUGUACCAGUUUCUCGUCUCUGUCCCUGUCCACCAUCUAAAGGGUGGGAAGAGAGAGUGAAUUCCAUGGACUUCAUUGGUAACUUAUUUGGAGUCUUUUCUAGUAUCUUUUUUUCUAAAUACUGAUGUUGUCCAUGUAGACCCUUGAAUUGAAUUCUUUCAUGUAAUGAUCUCUUCAUUUCCUCAGUCUGUUUUGCUAUACUUUGGGCAGUGGUGAACGAGCCUUAUGAUAGUGACCACUAUCCUGUUCUUCCUUUCAUUCACACCUGUCCUUAUUGUCCUGCUCAGUGGCAGUUUGAAAGUGCAAAUUGGGCUAGAUAUAAGUUACUUUUCCUUCUCACACCAUGGCUAACCAGUACCAUUCUGAAAUCCAUUGACAAGAAACACCAAUAUGAAAAGCAAUAUAGACAGGGCUUAAUACACAAAGAUAUUCUUAAACACUAUUCAUCAGUUCUCACCAAAGUAAUAAAGAAAGCCAAACAACUAUACUACUCCAGUAGAUUCACAGACACUAGAGGAGAUAUAAAAAAGACCUGGAAAACACUCUUUCAGAUUCUAGGGACCCACAAACUGAAAAAAAAACAAGAAUAUUGUCCUAACUAAACCUAAUGAAACACCACUACAUCCCACUGACACAGCUAACAAGAUAAACGACUUCUUCUCAACCAUAGGAUCUAAUCUCGCCAAUAAAAUCCCACAUACCAAUGCCCAUGCCGGGGACUACCUAGAUGGGAAUUUCCCAAAUUCCUUCUAUCUUGCACCAACUGAGCCCUCAGAAGUCACCGAGAUUAUAAAGUCACUUAAUACAUAAAAGUGGUGACCCUACAGACUUAAACAACUUUCUUUCUUUCUUUCAACACACCGGCCGUAUCCCACCGAGGCGGGGUGGCCCAAAAGGAAAAACGAAAGUUUC